UGCAUCUGGGAUACGCGCAGUGAUGACUACCACAAUCGGUAUAAAAAAGAUCAGGCCUGGGUGGAAAUAACCAAGGAGCUUUUUGAAUCCAGCUGGGAAAAAACACAUGGCAAAAGCCUCCAGAAUUUGGUGGACGAUGUCAAGAAUCGUUGGCGGAGCUGCAGGGACCAGUUCCGCAAGGAAAUGCUUCAACAUGCGAGGAGUAUUUCCGGGCCACCAAGAAAAGGCCAUAUAUGUUCCUGAACCAACUGAUGUUCCUCCGUGAGGUCAUGGAGCUGCGUCCGACAGAGGACAACCUACCGGAAGAAGAGGAGGAGUCAGCACCGCAGAUGUCCAGUGCUUGUGAGGAAGACACUCCCUCUUGUCCAUCACAGGUGGACACAGCACCAGGACCAAACACUGCACCAUCCAGACCACCACCUGUUUCUGGAGCAGAUUCCCCCCCCCCCCCCAGCCCUUUGGCUCUACCCAGCAGGCCCAGACGACGGGCAACCACUCCUGCCGAUACAAGUGUAAAUACGCAGGUUAUGGAUUAUUUAGCUAGAGCCUGGCAUGAGGAUGAAUUUGAUCAUUAUGUGCGUAGUAUGGCCUCAUAUUUGCACAGGCUGCCUCCAGAACGAGUUUUGCUCACCAAAGCAGCUCUAAAUAUCGUUUUGGAUGCAGCCACUCCCCCCAAUGACCCAAAUGUCAUUUUCGAGGGCCUUGAAAAUUGGCGCC